GAUUCCUCUCUCUCUAGAACAGAAACAUUGCCCUAAUUUGGUGGUGUUUUCUUGUUCCUGGAGUCAAGAGCUACGAAACCAUCUGAUUGGUUUUGCAUUCCAGCGGGUUCUGUACAGUUUCGCACGGUGUAGGGGUACUAUUAGAGCAUUUGUGAACUGUGUUGAGCAACCCAUCAGAAGAGAAUGAGGCCUCAGUGGAGAAUGUCCUGGAGGGGAAUGAGGAAGCAACUUCUUAGUCUCUCUAGGAAUUCCAUAGCUUUCCAUGUAUCUUAACAAUUCCAGUUCUUGUAUUUUGAAGUACUUUAGUAUUCCACGUUUUAAAAUUUCUUCUACAUUCCGGAUUACUGUAAUCCUUAAAUUUUAAUUUCUUAGAACCUUAUUUGCUAUUUUAUUAUUCUAACUGUUUUCUAUUAUCAUCUAUGUUGACG
rnacentral:sRNA from 1 species